rnacentral:rRNA from 1 species
UGGGGAAUAUUGCACAAUGGCGGGAACUCUGAUGCAGCGACGCCGCGUGAGUGAUGAAGGAAUUCGUUUCGUAAAACUCUGUUCUAUGGGAAGAAAAGGACUGUACCAUAGGAGAAAGCUCCGGCUAAAUACGUGCCAGCAGCCGCGGUAAUACGUAUGGAGCGAGCGUUGUCCGGAAUUAUUGGGCGUAAAGGGUGCGCAGGCGGCUUUACAAGUUGGAUGUGAAAUAUUGUGGCUCAACCACAAACGUGCAUCCAAAACUGCAAAGCUUGAGUUAAGGAGAGGUAAGUGGAAUUCCUGGUGUAGCGGUGGAAUGCGUAGAUAUCAGGAGGAAUACCGGUGGCGAAGGCGACUUACGGGACUUAAACUGACGAUCAGGCACGAAAGCGUGGGGAGCAAACAGG